GAUGAAUCUUGUGUAUUUAAUACAGAUUGCGAACGACAAAAGUUUUCAGAAUGUACUGCGUCCAGUUUAUGUCAGUGCCAAUCAAAUUAUGUUAAAGUACGUCCUAGUACAUGCCGAGGAUUGAUUGGAGCGGCCUGUUCUAGAAAUUAUGAAUGUUUUCCGCAUGAUUCGAUUUGUCUUGACGGAUUUUGCAAAUGUAAAUGCAAUUAUUUAUCCACAGCCAGCGAUCUUUGUCUACCAACUUUCUUUGAGCUAACAUGUUCUGCCGGUGACGAAAGGUGCCAAGAUGAGGAAUUUUCUGGGUGCUUGAAUGGUAAAUGUUAUUGUCAUCCAAAUCAUGUUGUGGUUAGUAUGAGUUGUCAGCCGAUCUUGUAUGAAAGCUGCGCGAAAAAUGGGCUAUGUGCAAUAAGAAAUUCUAUUUGUCGUGACAAUGUGUGUCAAUGCAAAUCCGAUUAUACAGCACAAUCUGAAAAUCGCUGUUUACCAACUAAAUUAAAUGGCUACUGCCAAAUUGAUGAUGAUUGUAGAUUUUUAUAUAACUCAAAGUGUUCAAAAUAUAACUACUGUGCGUGCAUCAAUAAUUAUUUUGGGUUUAAUGAAACUACUUGCGCCCCACUUAUUGCUGCAAAGUGUGAAUCAAACGCCGACUGUAUGAUUGAAAAUUCCAUCUGUCUCAAUGGAAUUUGCAAGUGUAAGAAUUCUUACAAGAAUUUUUUCAAUGAAAAAUGUGUUACAGGUAAGUAAUGUGAUUGGGAACUACAGAGCAAUUUUUAACGCCAAAAUGUUUCAGCACUUCAUAACUUUUGUAAAAAAGACUCUGAUUGUCUUGAAUCAACAUUCACAAAAUGUUCUAAAAAUAAUAUAUGUGAAUGUGAACCAAAUUACUUUGCUUCAGAAAAAGAUAUGAUUUGUUUACCUAGCAUAUCUGGACUUUGCGACAUAGACGAUGACUGCACACUCGAAAAUUCUCACUGUUAUUACAACAGGUGUCAAUGCAAGAAAUUUUAUUUUCCUGUGGUAACCAAUGGAAUAUAUUCGU